ensembl:lncRNA
GUAGAUAGGACACGCCCCUUUGAGCUGCGUGCUACAGCGAGGCUAAGCUAGUGGGGGAAAAGUUUCAGUGCAUUCCAUUGAUGUAGACGGCGUGAAAACGGAAACAACAAGUAUGCCGGCUCACUGUGCUGCAUACAGUUACACACUACGUCGUACGACUGAGACAAGGAAACUUGGAAUGACUUUUCAUAGGUUUCCCAGAGACUAUGGGUUGAGGAGGAAUUGGAAGUUUGUCGGCUUAGACCUGGUGUCAUUCCAUCAGUGUUAAACUUCCCGGCUCAUCUUGGAAGAGUACGUGCCAGAAAGACCACGACCAAGCAGCCUUGAGAUCUUAGACAGCGUCUCCCUCAGGUCCCUCUCUAUCUCCCCACACAUCCACCAACCACUGGAACACAUCUCCAAAGUUCUGCCAGGCCAGCUCAGCUUCCCCUCAGAAGAAGUGCCGCCACCUGCCAGAUGAAGGAGCCUUUUGAGAGGCAGCUGGCAUCGUGAUUGGACUGUACUUUGGUCUGUUCCAAUCCAGCUUCAGCUCCAGAGACGGCAGGCGGGACGAGUCAACGGAGGCCGGGUGGACGAAGACAUGCAGCUGAGUACAAUCCAGAAAACAACAGAAGAGGAGUGCAGGGCCAGAACAACCAGAGUAGCACAUUAUGUCUCUUAGAAAGAAUCAUAGUAUAGCCUUUGGUAUGAAAAAACGCCAUCAUAUACAUCGUAUCUUGUACAAAUAACAAGUCAAAGGAAAGAGACAUACAUUGUAGAAUUGUAGUAAUUGUGGGCUGACUGAUUUACUGAUUAUCAGUAUUUUAUUUUUUACUGAUUUACGGUAAUAAAUAAAUUUAAAAAU